UGACGCGCUUAAGUCAUUAAUUGCUGUUCAAGCCUUCUUCUGGUGACUUGUACCAGCUGACUGCUUCUUCUCCCUGCCAGAGGCAUAACGCAUCAAGCUCAGUGGUAAGCGAAAGCUCAUUUUACGUAUGCUUCCAGAUUCUAUUUUUGACAUGUAUGUUUGAUAGACGCUGCUGUUUGUCCUUGGCCGGCUGCUUGCCCGUACUCUGUUGUCCCUGGUUGACGGUCCGUCCGCCUGUGACCUGGUUAUUCGUCGUCGGCUGACGGCGGCCUGCCCGUCGCCCUGGUUGUCGGCUUCAUACCCGCUGUCCUGGUCGGCGUAAGCUGGCUUUUGACUCUCGUCCAGUGUGGCUGAUUCAGGCUGGUUUAUGACCAGCUCGUUCUGAUCCCUCUGGUGCCGCUCUGGCUGGCGUUUGCUGUGGCGCGGCGGUUCGUCUCAGGACGGACUCCUAACUUGGACUGCUAUUGCUUGAUUUGUGAGGACUGAACUGUAUAACCAAGAAAUGUAUGUAAUUUGAAUGUCUUUUCUUUUGUUGACAGGAACGGCCAGCUCGUGGUGUCGGUGGUGGACUUUCCGGGUGGUGGUAUUUUCUUUGGUUUGGUGCACGAUUUUCUUUUAUUUGGUUUGCUGUGUUUCCUUUGUAGGUCCCUGCCAGCUUCGAGUUGAGCCGUAAAUGUCAUUUUAAUGUGUGAGUGAUUUUAAACUAAUAUAUUUCUGACUAGAAAAUUGAAAUAAUAAACUGAUUGGACUGAGUGGAAUUGUCUCGUGCCUCAUAUGUAGCGGGCCUGUGCGCCUUAAAGGUAACUUUAUAGUAUUAUUAAAUUAGUUAUCUUAAAAUUCAAGUUGCCAAUCGGGAUAGCAUAGGUACCGUCACAUUUGGCGCUGGGAGCAGGAUCUUUUUUUUACAAUCUUGAGGCUGAGACUUUUCCAUUACUUCAUUGUAUUUGCUAUUUAAUGGUCAAGCAGUAGUUUUUAUUUAUUUUUUUGGUUCUAAGGACAAACAGCAGCGGUUAAUUUAUUUUCUUGAGCUGGUUAUUUGUAGUAAUGGAGGAAGAACUACUGGAAUUGAAGACCCUGAUUGCUCAAUUAAAGGCUGACAAUGAGAAGCUGCGUGCAGAGCGUUCGCCUUCCACAUCUAGCUCCAGUGCUGGGCCAUCUUCAGCUUCUGCACUCCCUGCUGCCCAAGUAACAGACAGGUGACUUGUACCAGCUGACUGCUUCUUCUCCCUGCCAGAGGCAUAACGCAUCAAGCUCAGUGGUAAGCGAAAGCUCAUUUUACGUAUGCUUCCAGAUUCUAUUUUUGACAUGUAUGUUUGAUAGACGCUGCUGUUUGUCCUUGGCCGGCUGCUUGCCCGUACUCUGUUGUCCCUGGUUGACGGUCCGUCCGCCUGUGACCUGGUUAUUCGUCGUCGGCUGACGGCGGCCUGCCCGUCGCCCUGGUUGUCGGCUUCAUACCCGCUGUCCUGGUCGGCGUAAGCUGGCUUUUGACUCUCGUCCAGUGUGGCUGAUUCAGGCUGGUUUAUGACCAGCUCGUUCUGAUCCCUCUGGUGCCGCUCUGGCUGGCGUUUGCUGUGGCGCGGCGGUUCGUCUCAGGACGGACUCCUAACUUGGACUGCUAUUGCUUGAUUUGUGAGGACUGAACUGUAUAACCAAGAAAUGUAUGUAAUUUGAAUGUCUUUUCUUUUGUUGACAGGAACGGCCAGCUCGUGGUGUCGGUGGUGGACUUUCUGGGUGGUGGUAUUUUCUUUGGUUUGGUGCACGAUUUUCUUUUAUUUGGUUUGCUGUGUUUCCUUUGUAGGUCCCUGCCAGCUUCGAGUUGAGCCGUAAAUGUCAUUUUAAUGUGUGAGUGAUUUUAAACUAAUAUAUUUCUGACUAGAAAAUUGAAAUAAUAAACUGAUUGGACUGAG